ensembl:lncRNA uncharacterized LOC115021758
CUGUGUGACUUAGAGAACUGAUAAUAGGUGGAGACAUAAAAGUCUACAAGAGAAUACUAUUUUGUCAUUCCAUUCGGCUACAGCGCUCAGAAAAUGGCAAUUGUUUAUCCACAGGGUGUCCUGCUAUUAUUUCUGUUAAUAGACAUAUCAGCGAGCAGAGAUGGCUCACCAGGAAUCGAGACUGUGAUUACUUCUCAAGAAGAAGAUGUAGUUCUCCCUUGUGCAGAUUCAUGGAGCGAAAUGGAUCGAAGGAGUUGCAUUCGAGUCAGGUUGAUUAAAUAUGCCACAGAUGGAAGUCAGAUGAAGGUUAUCUUAACCCGGCCUAAAACACAUAAAUUCCAGGACGCUGAACGUGUAAAAUGGCAAGAUGAUGGAAAUGGACAAAUGUCUCUUUUUCUGACAAAAUCACAAAAAUCUGAUGAGGGAGUGUACGGAUGUGAAAUCUGGUGUGACUGGGAUUUUAUUAGUGUCAAAAAUGUAUCUUUAAAAGUAAAAGACUGCAAAGCCCUUCUGCCAGUGAAGGCAGCGCCGAGCACACCCGCUAACCUGAACUGCCCAGUGGACAUAACAUCAGGACAACAAGGACCCCAAAACAUCUCCUGGGCAAUGAUGAAAGGAGGCAGCCCUGCAGCUGUAAACUUUAAAAGGGUUGAAAUGAAUGGGACUUCAUUAGCUAUCCAGUCUGUGAAUAACGAUGACAGUAGUUGGUACAGAUGUAAUUACACGCUUGGACAAACUCACCGCUGCUUCGACAUUAAACUACUGGUCCAAGAAGUGGAACAUGCUGUUGUGGCCACAACAGCUCAAGAAAUGACUACCAGUGAGAAUAUUUUGAAAGGCAAGAAGGAGGGGAGUAGUGGAUCAUUUAUGGUAGUUGUUGUGACUUCAGUCCUUGUUGGGAUUGCCAUAAUGGCUGCACUGAUAGGAGUGUUCAUUUACCGCAGACGUAACACCCAGAGAGUUAUACAACAAACCCUGAGGCACCCAGCAGUUACUCUUACAGAGUCCAGUGCUGGUUAUGAGAUUGUGAAUUUUACGCUUUCAGAGGAUCGUACAAACCAUCGAGUCAACAGUUUAUACCAACAACUCCCGGACGAAGGCAUGUGUACUUUCCAGCAUUAGUAAAGUUCUGCUCAACACAAAGAAGACAAUUGUUCUCGUGAAAUUAUAGUUAAAUCUGGAUUUCCUGCUUACAUUUAUGCAUCAUGUAAAAACAUGUAACAUCUACUCAUAUGUAAAGUCUUUGUCUUGCAAAGAGUAAAAAUAUGGAGCAACAUGCUAGCUCCUGUUUUUACCCCUGUUGAAAAGACCCUGUUUGUGUUAAUAUAUCUAAUCAUCUGUAUUAUUUAAAAAUAUUUAAAAUACCAUCUUUCAAUAAAAUCUUUUAUCCAAUUUCCAGUGUUCUGUUACAAGAAAAUAUUACCUUUUAAAACAGGUUUUGUGAAACACAUUUUGCAAGGUUAAAGGACACUUUUAUUAAGUUCUAGUUCACAGCCUGUAAUAAAUCAUAGAAACUGCCAGUGGUGUUCUCAGCUCCUCUUUUGGUUUGUGUUUGCUGGUGUAGUUCCUCAUUAGUUGCAUCCUGAAUGACCUCGUAAACAUGCAUCUGCGAGGAGGAAUACUGGAGUUAUUACAUUAUAUAUCCUAUCUACCCUAUAUAACAGACAAAAGGUAUUUUUUUAGGACAAUUAUGCUUUCUCUCUUACCAUUCUAAUAUUUGACUGUUCAUUUCCUGCAAAAAGAAAGGUAGAACAAUUAUUUAAUUCUCCUCAAGGCUCUCAAAACAUUUUCAUACACUAGAUCAGGGGUGGGGAACCUCCGGCCUCCGCGAGACCAUUCGAUCCGGCCCUCGAGGUAAUUCGUAAAACGCACGCAAAUAAAAUCCACUAGCAAAAAAAAAACUAGACGGCAAUAUUUUAAAUGGGGGAUUGACUGUUUUUCCUGGCCAAGGUCAGGGUCCUUGAACACAACACGAGCGGAACGUGUCAUCACGUGGUCACCUCAUGUCAAAAAACUUACAUUUUAAACGAGACUUUCAUUAACAUCAGCAACAGCACGGCGAGUGUAAAACAGAGAAAGCUGGAUGUGGAAUGUCGCACUUUCCAGGAGAAAUAAUCUCGAGCGUCAUUACUGCACGAAACAUGCCGAACUGCACGAGCUGAAAGGACGAGUGCGUUUGGAUAAAGUUAACGCUCAGUUUGGCCCAACAAGCAGCUCUCUGCAGAGCGUAACAUGAAAACAUGGACAGAUAGAUAGGUAGACCACCACACCAAGAACAGACUAUUCCUCCACUGCCAUUUACAAUACUCACUUUUUAUAAUUUGUGCAAUUAUCACUGCCAUGUACAAUAUUCACUUUAUUUUCUAUCAACCACUUGGUACUUAGAUUUUUUAUUCUAUUUAAUUAUUGUUUACUGCCUUUUUACUUCAUAUGUUCUUUUGCUGUGACAAGAUACAUUUCCCCGUUGUGGGACUAAUAAAGGAUUGUUUUCUGAUAAAACAGAAAGAUACAUGGUUAAAAAAAGUUGCUUUUUUGCACAGCAUAAAAGAAAGGAGAAAUUAAUGAACUGCGUCUUAAAAUGUUUGCAGAGGUUAUGAGUUCAAUAAUUAGUGCGGCCCUCGAAGGAUGUUGUAAUAAAAAAAAAUGGCCCUUGAUAGGAAAAAGGUUCCCCACACCUGCACUAGAUGCACUGUAGGUUGUAAACCCCCUUACCCACUUUCAUUACCUGCAUCCUUGUUGUGCUUCCUCUUCAUGUACAUGUAGAGUCCUCCAGCAGUUAAACAUAUCAGCAGGGCUAUAGGAAGGACUACCCAAGCAGGUGUUUGCAGAGCUGUAGACAUUAAAUAAUUAUUAAUAAUAAUAAUAAUGUUUAGUCAGAAAAAUUUGUGGAUUUUAUUUAUUUAUAGGAGAAAAGGCAACAAUAGCAUGAUGCUACUUACGAUUAAUGAUGCGCCAUUUCUUUGAUGCCAUGACUUCACCCUCUCUUUGCACAAAGCAAGUUAUUUCAUCAGUCAUUGAAAACACUGGCAGAAACAACCUGUUUAUUAGAGUGUUAUUGUCAUGCAUUAAACCACUCUGCCAGCUAUUGUGGCUUCCUCCAGACCAAGUUAAAUUGAAGUCUUUUCCACAAUCUUUAGUGCAGGUAAGCACACAAGUCAAAGUGAGAUUAUCAUCUCCUGGCCCGUGCUCUGAAGUAACUGUAAAAACAUGAGAGAAAAUGUUUUAACAGCAAAGUAGAUAUAGCAUGUUCUGUUCUGGCACUCGUAGUGUGUGAACACUCACCAUCGAGGGUAUGCAGCCGGAUUUUAUUAAACACUUUUUGUUGAUCAGUGAACUCUGUACACUGGUAGUCCCCGGUGUGCAGAGGCUUUACUUUGCUAAUGACCAGAGAAUAGUCUUUUUUCACAUGCAAUGCCUCCGUUUGGCCUUUAUAAGGUGAGACAUCAUCUGCCAGAGUCCUUUCACCCACAGACCACUUCACGAGGCCACUCAUGCUGAGAGAGGAAGUGUUGCUACAAGAGAGUGACACUGACUCACCCACUGCUGUAAACACUUCCUCUGUGCCAUCUGAGGGAAAGAGAACACUGGUUAACCUUUGUGCAUGCUAAACCAAAUUUUCCUUUGGAGUAAGUGGAGUUUAGUACCUUGUAUUGUUGUUGUAUAAGUGAUGGUGGCUUGAACCAUGUCAUUAUGAGUCAGCUGGCAUUUCCAUUUUCUGUGAUGGUCUGUCAGUUUUUUAGUGAUAAUCAGUUUGGAGAAGCAUUCAGAUUCAUGUUUGAACUGAAAUCUAUCCCCAUGUAUUGGUGUAUUAUCUUCAGUGCUCCACUUGAUAUGUAUCCCUGUGUUGCUACAAGCAACAUAUCCUUUAUACGUAUUGAGGAAACACUGAAGUUCUAUUGUGCUGUCUGCAGGAGUUGAACGCUCAGCAACUGUUGAAUGAAAAAUAAAUCACAAAAAUAAUAACAUGUGAUUAGUAUGAUAUUGACUUCAAAUCAAGAUUGUGUUGAGUCACUUACUUGCAAGAAUCUGAAGAGAAACAUUUGAAUUGAGCAGUCCACUGUUACAAGAGUAAAUUCGUGCAUCAUCGAGUACCAGGCGAUUAAUCUUCAGAGAGCAGUCCUUUAGCAGACCAAGCCUGAGGGCGUUCGGGGCUGUCACCAUUCCAGCCUUCACCACCUCCGUGACUGUUCGAAACUCUCCAGCUAAGUUCCAGUUAACAGAGGAGCAGGAUGUGAUUGAGGGUAUGCCACAUGGUAAAGUAAUGCCUUCUCCUAGUAAGGCAAACAUAACCACAUUAUCUGUUGGAGAAGACAUAAAAGCUUUUAAUUUUCAGUCAUGAGGUAGUU